ACGCUCGACACCUACGGGAGCAGCAGUGAGGAAUAUUGGUCAAUGGGCGCAGGCCUGAACCAGCCAAGUAGCGUGAAGGAUGACUGCCCUAUGGGUUGUAAACUUCUUUUAUAUGGGAAUAAAGUUUUCCACGUGUGGAAUUUUGUAUGUACCAUAUGAAUAAGGAUCGGCUAACUCCGUGUCAGCAGCCGCGGUAAUCUGAGCGGGCUGGCAAGGC
rnacentral:rRNA from 1 species